ensembl:lncRNA
AAAAUUAAAAGAAGAUAUCCAAAAGAUUUUCAAAUUAAAGGUUUCACAUACAUGUGCACAAUAGCUGUUUGAAAUACAUAUUUGGUGGCCUGAAACAGGCAGAGUCCAUAAUUACAGAGAAUCCAACGAUGACUUUCAUACCAGCUUUGAUGGAAGCUACGACUCCUGUCCCCCAUUAAUGUGACUGGAAAUGUCCUCAAACUGGGCAGCACUGGUGGAUCAUCUUUGUACGUCUGAUAAGAGAUGAAUGCAGAGUAAACAUGAGGCUGUAACUGAGGACAAUAACUGAUCAGUGUUAACUUAUUACUUUAUUCUGUCAUUAUUGUUCAUUACUGUCAGUUACAAUGACUGUAUGAAUUGUAAUGACACGACACUCGCAGUCACACAGGUCUGUUCAACAUCACAAACCGCUGGUUGUCCCUCUUCCUCUCCCUCACAGCUCGUCUUCCUCACUCUCAGGACUGUCCCUCUCUGUACUGCAACAGUGUCAGAAACCCACAUUUGAUUUUGUUGUUUAUUUAUCAUAUUUAAUUUUUCAUCUAAUGUCUUUUUGAUUAAUGUGUGAAUUAGGGUAAUUGAGGUCUAUCAAUGUCAAAAAUCUCACUGUAUGAUUUCAGUCAGUGUUUAAAUAAAUCCAACAGGAAAUGAGAUGUUUAUGUUAAAACAGUGGCAGUGUUUUCAAAUGAUGGCACAGUGAUUGUGCUUAGAAAUACUUUUUUUUUUUUUUUUUACAGGAAUAUUAUGUGAAAUACAUUUUUGAGAGAUCAAAAUGUUGUCAUUCAGGAGAAAAUCUUCCCUUUUAACAGGAUCCAUGAAAACAACCUGCUCUAGAUGAAACACCAGCACGAACAUUAACACACAAAUUCAGCAGGAAUCCCCUGAAUGUAUCUUCAUAUUUCACAAUACUCGCAGAAAGGGAGGAGUCUAUGACUGUAUCAUCACUCGUCAUUAGUUCUGGGCAAGCGCUCCAAGCCGGUCUGGAACUUUUCACUUCAACUUUUGUACCACUCCGAUCUGAUCAGGACCCAAAAACUGCACGUAAUGGAUGUAACAUCAGUCUGCAGGAAUCUACUGGUUGUCCUUUUUUCUUGAUCGUGACUGCAGGUGAGUUAAAGCGAGAAUCAGAUUUUUUUAUUCACACUAGAAUACCGCGUUACUCUGCAGCAGCCCACCUUCACAUCACAUAUCAGCCAAUGUCCUCCACUUUGUGCCAACUCGGUCAGCAGCCCGCUGUCACUGAACGUUUUUCAGCAUUGAGGCCAUUCGUGUGCAGCGCAACAAUAUCCAUAUCCAAUUCUUGAAACCCGUUUUAGUCGGCAUGGGUUGGCCCAACCAAAGUGUCAAGUGUCCUAUUUCGACGUUCGAGAAAAGGCGGAGGGAGAGGGCGAUGUCUGCUCGACGCCUGUUCAUGAAGCUUCUCUCUAAAACUAAACACGGUCCUUCUUCUCCUUCAAAGUCGUCUGGCUAUCGUCCUUAAACUUUCUAAUAACGUCUGAAUACCACCUCUGCGUUAUUUCUACCGUCUCUUUAACGACCGAGACAAAAUAAAAUGUUCUUAAACGAAAGAAUCCGUCAAAAGAAGUAGCGCGUGAACGCAACGCUGUCAAAGCCGAGCUCUACCGGAAACAAGUUCUUUUCCCCACCUCUUUGCCGAAAAGAAAAAAAAAAACACCUACUUCCUGCCCCAGUGAACCACAAAAUGAAUGUUACUUAUAUACACGCAGGUAUUUCUUGCUUGUGUUGGAUUAAAAUGACUGAAAAACUAACAUCUGUAUGUUUAUGCCGCUGUCUGUGUUACAUAAACUUAAACAAUAAUAAGUUCGUGCUUGUUUCUACAAAUAGGUCUCAUUUAAAAUAACUGUUGAAGCGGAUUUCGUGUGUGUAUGUGUACAUUGUUUUAUUGCAGGAAGCUUUAUUAAAGCCCCACUUUAUGUCUGUAAGUAUUAAAUGAAAUAAAUAAUUUACACUUCAAGUCACAUUGCUGUUUUUCCUAUUCAGAUUGAUUACACUGAAACAAACAGAUACCUUAUUUGCAGUUAAAAGAUCAGAAUGAUCUCACACAGCAGAAACAUUUCUUUUUCUUUCGGGCUCCGUUUUGUUAUGGAGAGAUGUGUAUUGUUUUUUUUUUUGUUUUUGUUUGUUUUUUUUUUUAACUUUGUGAGAGUAAUUUUGUGGUUUUUUUGGUGGCGACUCAUUCCGUUGGCAGAUGCAGAUGCGGUACCUUUUAAAGACAGUCUGGCGCGUUGGCAAUGAGCGAUACAGCAGCUGGAUCGAUCACGUGACUUUGUCUUAAAGCGACGCACGCUUCGAGACAGGCUUCGCUCUGUGAGCUUGAUACAUGCGUCGGUGCGUCAGUGUUGCAGGACCCAUCACUAGUCGAUCGCAGGUCAUGCAUAGAGCUGAUUCCCAGCUGCGCUGAGACCCAAAUAGUUUGCAGUGCGUGCCACGAUUGCAGUGUCGCUAAGCGGGGUGUGACGGGUUGCAGUGUUGUGUUAUUUUCACAACGUUUGUGUCGUAAGUCUCAUGUGCAGCUGGGAUAUCAGCAGGAUGUGUUGUAAGUCCUGUCUGGAAAUAACUGGGAAUUUGUAUGUCUAAUUAAUGUAAUAAAUACAUUAUCAAUUUAUAUCUUUGCCCCAUUUACUCAUCCUUUGUCCUCGGUUACACAACAACAACUACAACUAACUUAAUCUAAAUUAUUUAAUGUAUUUGGUAGACCAUAAAAACAGCAGAGCUGCAAAAACAAGUAGAUGUCAAAUAUUAAUAAAUACCAAUAACUAGAAAUGUGCAUAAAAGAGUUUUGCUGGGUGUUGUCAGUGUCAGUAGUGUGUAUGUAAUUUCUAUACAAUCCAUGCAAAGAAGCUGUCGUUAUUAACACAAAGUGGUGCUAAUAAAAUGGAAAGCACAAGUUUCUUAUAACACUAAAAUCUCAAAGUGCUUGACUUAUAUGUAUAAAUCAUUUUAUGUACUAUUAAACACUUUUAUUGUGAAAGCACGAAAACGGAAACUCUCACUGUAAUGAUCCUGUGUAAUCACCACACAGGUUUACAGCUGUUGGUUUUGGCUCUGUUGGUGUUUUUGCUUUGUUUUGUUUUUUGUUAUUGCUAACCCUUAAAGUUUGGAUUUGUUUGGCUGAAUUUUAAAUUCAUGUCAUGUUCUAAGAAUAUCUCCAACACAACAGGCUGAUAUGCAGCUCCAAACCAUGAUUGGCUGCUGUACAAGUGAAUGGUUUUAACUUUGACCUCUCUGCUCUGUGUUGUUUCCUCUUUCAGACCAGAAAAACAUUAUAGCUCAGUCUGGACAGAACGUCACUCUGACAUGUCGAGCUCCAAACAACAUCAUAGUUGUAAAAUGGAUCAGAGCUGAUCUGAAGUCAGGUUAUGUCCCUUUUUUUCCCCCAGGAUGAUCUGUUUGUUCCAGCCAACCAGCAUCAGACAGACUGUGAACGCUUACAGGCAAACAUCACACUCAUGAUCAGUGAUUCAUUUUUCUCUGAACUAUAAAUUAAAUACAUUUUACUUCAUGUAGUUGUUUGUUCUGAGUCACUUUAUAAGACCCUUUCUGACCUGUACAGUCUGUUGAUGGUGUUUGUCUCCUGCACUGUAAGUAAAGUUUCUUGACAUGAAUGUUGUUUCCUGUUGCUUCAUGAGUAAAACAGAACUGAAACAUAAUGUGAGCUGGAAUCAAUCCAUAGUUGGUUUGUGGUCAUUUUUCUUGCUUUUCACCACAAAAAAUGACCACACCGACCAGCCAAUCGGUGACAUCAGUUUACUACCUGCUCAGAUCGCUUGGAAACCCGGCCUAGCAGGUACUAAAAAAAUACCUGGUACCAGGUACUGAUGACCAUUCACACUCACAUUCACACCUCUGGGCGAUUGAGAAUCACCAGUGAACUUAACCCCACUGACUGCAUGUCUGUGGACUGUGGGAG